AACAGAGCAGGCAAAAGACUGAGAACAUGACUUCACACAGAUGUCACCUUGUCUUUAUUUAGGAGCUGGAUACGUAAAAUAAUCCAGCUGACAGACCAUUCUGACAGUUUUUAGCCAACUGAUUAAGUGACUGACUGCGCCGUCUGACGAGAAAAGUUGUCGCUAUUGAGAAAAUGCUAGUCUUCCGAUAGCAGGGAUUUAUUACAAGAUCCGCACAUUUGGCCUAAUGUGAUGCGCAGAGGCCUCCUCCCUCGCAGCAGCUGUUGAAAACGAAUUGGCUGCCUGGUAGAGGUUGGACAUGAGACUGUGGUUGUGCUCAGGGCACAUACAGAUCUGAAUGGAGCUGGACCGGUUGCUUCCAGACUGGAAAAAAUGAUUUACGAAUUCUGGAAAAGACUUCCAGAACACUGCCACUGAAGUCACGCGAGAAAACACAACAAUGCCAUUUUUUAUUCUAUUUUGGUGCUUGCUGUGGUCAAAAACUAAGCAACUGCGGCAUUACCCUCAGUGCUACAUUGUAAAUGGUUAACAAGUUUGGCUUGUGUCCAUCUUGUAGCCUGCUUAUCACACUGUUUUCAACACAAUAUUAGUCACAAGGAGCAGCUAGGUUAGCUAACGUUAGCUUGUUAGCCACAGGGCUAACUACUGUACUUGCUUAAGAGAUAGCUUGCUGUUGCUCGCUCCUGUUUGUUAAAUACCAUUAGUUAGCUUAUUGGCAAACCCCUGGUUGCGUCGUUAUUGUUACAAAUACCUCUAGUACAAACCAUGGAAAACGUCAGAUGCAAAGGUCAGUUUACUGGAGGAAAAUAACGUCAUAAACGACUGACACGUGACCACAGUAUUCAAAAUUCCACUAUCCAGACAUCAGAGGAAGGGCAAGAAGGAGAAAGCGCUGGUACUGUUUUUGUCCAGCCAUCUGCAGCGAGAAAGUUGUGCUGGGCAGGAAGCGCUUACAUUUAUGCAGGCCUGGAGAGAAAGCCCCAACUGCUGAUGCACCUGGAGAACUAUGUGAACAAGGAGCUGCAUACUAUCAGCCCCAAUGAGCCAAAAUUCCAGGAACUGAAGCU